rnacentral:misc_RNA from 1 species
ACCCUUGUGGAGGAGGACGCCGAAGGUGGGGCUAAUGACUGGGGUGAAGUCGUAACAAGGUAGCCGUACCGGAAGGUGCGGCUGGAUCACCUCCUAACAGGGAGACAACAAAAUGUUUAAUAUUAUUAUUUUGUCACCUUAGGUCGAUCGGUACCUCACGUUCUUAAUUUAUUAAGAAUUUCAUUUCCUAAGUUUUUCUAGGUCACACCCAUUAUUUUUCCUGGGCCAUUAGCUCAGGUGGUUAGAGCGCACCCCUGAUAAGGGUGAGGUCCCUGGUUCAAGUCCAGGAUGGCCCAUAUCUCUAUGUUGGGGGUAUAGCUCAGUUGGUAGAGCGCCUGCUUUGCAAGCAGGAUGUCAGCGGUUCGAGUCCGCUUACCUCCACUGAUUACCACCUCUUCCAUAAUUUGUAGAAAGGAAAUUUUUUGAGUUGUGAUCAAAUUCUGAACGAAUCUAGCUUCCUAAUGAAAUCAUUAAGAUGCUGGACUCAUUGAAUUAAUUUCAUUGUUUUCAGAGAACCUUGACAACUGCAUAGAUUAUUUUAAAGACAAUAAGCAUCUUUAAUGAUGCAGAUUUAUUAUUUGUGCGAAUGCAUUAAUAACAAUUCUAUUAAGCUGAUGCUUCAAUUUUGAAGUUAUUGGUCAAGCUACAAAGGGCUCACGGAGGAUACCUAGGCACACAGAGGCGAU